UGAAACCGUGUACGUACAAGCAGUGGGAGCCUCUUAAUGGGGUGACUGCGUACCUUUUGUAUAAUGGGUCAGCGACUUAUAUUCUGUAGCAAGGUUAACCGAAUAGGGGAGCCGAAGGGAAACCGAGUCUUAACUGGGCGUUAAGUUGCAGGGUAUAGACCCGAAACCCGGUGAUCUAGCCAUGGGCAGGUUGAAGGUUGGGUAACACUAACUGGAGGACCGAACCGACUAAUGUUGAAAAAUUAGCGGAUGACUUGUGGCUGGGGGUGAAAGGCCAAUCAAACCGGGAGAUAGCUGGUUCUCCCCGAAAGCUAUUUAGGUAGCGCCUCGUGAAUUCAUCUCCGGGGGUAGAGCACUGUUUCGGCAAGGGGGUCAUCCCGACUUACCAACCCGAUGCAAACUGCGAAUACCGGAGAAUGUUAUCACGGGAGACACACGGCGGGUGCUAACGUCCGUCGUGAAGAGGGAAACAACCCAGACCGCCAGCUAAGGUCCCAAAGUCAUGGUUAAGUGGGAAACGAUGUGGGAAGGCCCAGACAGCCAGGAUGUUGGCUUAGAAGCAGCCAUCAUUUAAAGAAAGCGUAAUAGCUCACUGGUCGAGUCGGCCUGCGCGGAAGAUGUAACGGGGCUAAACCAUGCACCGAAGCUGCGGCAGCGACGCUUAUGCGUUGUUGGGUAGGGGAGCGUUCUGUAAGCCUGUGAAGGUGUGCUGUGAGGCAUGCUGGAGGUAUCA
rnacentral:rRNA from 1 species